rnacentral:rRNA from 1 species
GAUGAACGCUAGCGGCAGGCUUAAUACAUGCAAGUCGUGGGGCAGCAGCUUUAUAGCAAUAUAGAGGCUGGCGACCGGCAAACGGGUGCGGAACACGUACUGAACCUUCCUUUAAGUGGGGAAUAGCCCAGAGAAAUUUGGAUUAAUACCCCGUAACAUAUAGAAGUGGCAUCGCUUUUAUAUUAAAGCUCCGGCGCUUAAAGAUGGCAGUGCGGCUGAUUAGGUAGUUGGCGGGGUAACGGCCCACCAAGCCUACGAUCAGUAACUGGUGUGAGAGCACGACCAGGCACACGGGCACUGAGACACGGGCACGACGCCUACGGGAGGCAGCAGUAAGGAAUAUUGGUCAAUGGACGGAAGUCUGAACCAGCCAUGCCGCGUGGAGGAUGAAGGUCCUCUGGAUUGUAAACUUCUUUUAUCUGGGACGAAAAAGGGCUUUUCUAAGUCAACUGACGGUACCUUAUGAAUAAGCACCGGCUAACUCCGUGCCAGCCGCCGCCGUAAAAC